rnacentral:rRNA from 1 species
AACGCGAAGAACCUUACCUGGGCUCGAACGGCUUAAGAUCAACUUUGGAAACAGAGUCUUCUCGCAAGAGACUUGAGUCGAGGUGCUGCAUGGCUGUCGUCAGCUCGUGUCGUGAGAUGUUGGGUUAAGUCCCGCAACGAGCGCAACCCUUGUCCUGUGUUGCCACUCCCGUAAGGGAAGCACUCUCAGGAGACCGCCAGCGAUAAGUUGGAGGAAGGUGGGGAUGAUGUCAAGUCAUCAUGGCCUUUAUGUCCAGGGCUACACACGUGCUACAAUGGCCGGUACAAACCGCUGCAAACCCGCGAGGGGGAGCUAAUCGGAAAAAACCGGUCUCAGUUCGGAUCGCAGGCUGCAACUCGCCUGCGUGAAGCUGGAAUCGCUAGUAAUGGCGUAUCAGAACGAUGCCGUGAAUACGUUCCCGGGCCUUGUA